GCGUAAGACUGCACUGCUCCUCCCUCGCUUACCAUGAGCCUGCCUCAGUUGCUUAUGAAAUCUUGCCUGAAAUCUUGCCUGAAUCUCCUCAGACGCCACGAUGGCACGGCUGAUAAGGAGCUCGAGGGAAUUGCACCAUGCGGUCAACAAAAUCCUCCCACUCCUCCUCUGAAGCUUCCAGAAAGUCUCCUCCCUCCCUGGGCCAUUUCUGCAGUUCAAGACGAGCCCGAGGAGGCAAUGGCCUUGAAGGAGCCAGCUGCUUGCAGUGACCUGCUGCACACAGGGCAGAAAAGGGACACUGGCAGGGCUGGAGGACUGCGCUCAGGGCAGCAAGGGGCAGGCACUCAUCUUUUCCCACCCAACGGUGUGAAUACUCUGGUAUUUCAGUAGCAGUACAUAGUCAAGCUGCAAAGAAAUGCACUCUUGAAAGCUCCUGGCAGCAGAGUGAUGCAGUCAAGGAGUCUGGAAAAUGCAGUUCCCUCCCUCCUCUCUGUCCCGAAGCAGACGCAGAUAAUGCCAUACCUCCAGAAAAUGACCUGGCCUUGGGAUGCCAUGGUCGCCGCACCUACGAAGACAAAACAAACUCCAGGUGCCUGAAGGACCCACGCAGUGUUCAGCACAGCUCCUGCCCUUUGCAUGAUGCAUUUUCCAGGCUGUCCUGCUUAAAUAACUGAACUCAGCUAAGGGGUGGUGAGUGCAAGCAGUGAACUCUCAGGAAUGAGGAAGCAUGGAGCAUCUCAGCUCCCCCCGCCAUGCCUUUGACUGGUUAAAGUCACUGGGGAACAGGGGAGACCUCCUACGCCACCCAUUAAGGAAACAUUUAAUUUGAUUUAAAAUAAAAUAUAACACAGUCCAUGGUCUGGUAGCUGGAUGAUCCUGAGGUCAGAGUGCAGCAGUCUCCCACGCAGAUCCGCAGCUGACCCAUCACUGGUGGGGUGCAGACAGGUCCCACCUGUGGGUCCCCUUCCUGGCCCCAUUUGCAACAUGCAGCUUCUCCUGCCGCUCUGCUCUGUGCUAAGAGGUUCCUCUGAGCUCAGAAGAACCACACCGGUGUGGCAAUGGCCCCUUUUCUGACUGAUAUUUUCUUCUGCUGAACUCCUCCAGACCAGCCUAUUUCUCUUCCCUCAGUGUCUGGUCUCACUUGAGGCUGGGAUUAGGCUGAGUAACUCUUGGGGAUAAGAGGCUGAGAAGGGCAGAGAGACUGUGAAGAGAAGAGAAGGGAAGGCAGCUUUCACCACUGUUUGGUUUCCCGAAAGGGAACCUGCAUAUUUUAUCAUCUAUGUGUGGACUGCUUUCCAGGAAAGAUGGUAAAAGGGGAAUUUUUGAUAGUCCUUUGACAUCUCCAGUGAGUUUCGGUGGUUGGUGGGAGCUAGCAAAAAUGAUGAUGCCUGGAGGAACUGGGAACAGUCAAGCCCUAUACCCAGUCUAACCAAAAACAACAACAAAACAAUCACCACCAACACCAAAAAAAAACAUUAGAUGUUCAGAUAAAGAUGCAGCAUAAUAUUAAUGCUCAUCAGUAACCAAACUAGCUGCAAAGUCUACUCCUAAUGCUCCAAGACGGGCUGCUACUGAAAGCUCGUCCUUCAUCGUGCAGCCUCUGAAUGGAACUGAGGAAAGGACAUCUCAGAAUCACUUAUGCCCCGUGAUGUUUGCGAUAAUUUAAACUUAAAAUGCAGACUUUAUACAGUUUUCACUUCCUCUCUGCUUUGGCAAGGAAUAACACUUUUUAGUCUGAUUCAUUUUGUAGCAUUUUGCUGAUCACCAAACUUGUCGCAGAUUAGCAAGGCAUUACUAGAAGAUAAGAAUAGCUCUAGGCCAUCCCAUCUGGUGGAAAAUAAACUUGAAGAAACAUCCUCUUGCCCUCGGUGACACCUGAUUUACAGCUGCCCUUGGUGCACUGCGUGAACCAGGCGUCCCCUUUCAGCACUGGUUAACUCUGGGGCGACGAUCAGGUUACUGCCACUUCGGAAAAACAGGUCUGGCUCGGGCACAGGCAGCGCUGGGGGGACCAGGGCAGGUCCCAUUCACCCGGGGUAACAUCACGUUAAUUACAGAGUAGUUCUCAGGCUGGAGACUACCCCUCUCCAUAUGUUUGUAAGGUAAAAAAUGAGCUAUUAAGGAUACCUGACAUAAAAAAAAAAAAGAGGAUCUGUGGUAACAGAAUCCUUUCAGCUCUUACCACUUCUGGAUUUAUUAGCGAUAUCCCACCAGACGUGAUGGCAGGAGCUGGUCCCACAUGGUCUGAAAGCUGGUGAGCGUCUGGAGAAGAGACAUUGGCUUCCUUGGCUGAGGCUGCAGAAGGCCCAAAGGGUUACUGGUUUUGCUGGGCCCCAGGGCUGGCCACAUCACACGCUGCCUCUUGCCCGCAUGAGGGAACGGUGUGGGCAGGAAGGGCUGAAAGUGGGUCAGGAAGAAAAAAAAUAAUAAUAAUAAAGGAGGGGGGAAGGGCAAGAAGACAUUCAGUGGUCUGCAGGAGGCAUGGGCACAAGAACCAGACAUGCCCUUCGUGGUACAACUCCAGAAGUAAUAAUUGUUCCAGGAGAGUUCCCUCACAGCACGUUCAUGCCUUAUUUCAACGUCACUGGAAAGCUGGGGAAGGUAUCUGUGAAGGAGAAGAACCAGGAGAAGAUGCAGUUUCAGCCGGCUGACAAGCAGCAGAACUUGAUGAAACGUUCAAGAGAGGUGAAGGCGGUCAGCAGGCUGAAAAAGAUGAAAGCUAUCCUUGGGAUUUGGCCCAAAACGUUGGAGACCAUUCUAGCCUCGUGUCCCGCACCACUAACAAUGGUGUCAAGAGGUGCUUGAGGGGCACUGCAGAUGGAUGCACCGGUGGACCCAGCCUGGAGGCUGGAAGGAGAGCCUGGCACUGCCUCAUCAGCUCUGCCUGUGCCUGGCCUCACCUCAGCUUGAAGGGAAGGUGGAAGAGGCAGCAGCCAGAGCAAGUCCUCACCUCAAAACAGGGAGGUGGUGAGCUGCCCUGGGCUGGAAGUGGGUGAGAAUCACCACAGUAGGAUCCGCUACCCUCCCAUGUUUUCCCUGCCUGGAGACUAAGUCAUCCUCCUGCCUCUGAAAGCUUCUCCUCACCUUCAUCACUUCCUUUCUUUCCUUCUUUUUUUUUUUUUUUUGUCUGCAGUUCCCUGAAGGUUUUGUGUUCACUGGUGUAAUUCUCACAAUCAGCUUCUUGGAAAAUAUCAGCGCCAGGGUGUGUAAGAGAUGCAUAACAUGAAAACACGUUCUUCAGCUCCACGCUCCUCUGUGUUGGAGAGGACAGUGAUAUUUUAGACAGAACUUUUGUGCCGAGAAGGCAGUGCCGUGCUUAUGCCUUCCCUCUGUAACACAGCUGGGAAGUUCCAAUUAAAACCGACACACAUGGAGGGGUGGGAGGGCAAGAAAUAGAAAGGCACAGAAAAAAACGCCACAUUUCUUCUUACAACAUCUUCCGUUUCUGAGCACAUAGCGAGGACAAGAAUGGGUUACGGUUUGUUCCAUUAAAGAUUGCCUCAAAUUAAACUUUCACUUUGAAAUUUCAGAGUCAGCAGCUCGGAGGCUUAAAUUGCCUAAGUUGGAGACUUAAACUGCCUAACCUUGCCCUGUCUGACAGCCCUUUCUGGAUGAUUAAUGGACAGCUAUAACCAGCAUUUGCAUAAGGCUAUCUGUCUCCUGUGCUGGGAGGAAGAGGUUCCCAAACUGGCUUUGUAGGAGGGAAGAACAACACAUCAGUCUUUUAGGCCUGAGCAAGCAAACAGACAGCACAGAUUUCUACUUUAACAACCCGGCUAUUAUCCUUCAGAAAGCCAGAACCAGCCCCCGCUGUUGACACUAGAGCAGCAUUCCUCUCCCCAGUGACCAACAGUCAGACCUUUGUCCCCAGCCCGGCUCCCCAGGCAGUGCUACGAGAC
rnacentral:lncRNA from 1 species